UGGGGAAUAUUGCGCAAUGGGGGGAACCCUGACGCAGCCAUGCCGCGUGAAUGAAGAAGGCCUUAGGGUUGUAAAGUUCUUUCGGUAUUGAGGAAGGUUGAUGUGUUAAUAGCACAUCAAAUUGACGUUAAAUACAGAAGAAGCACCGGCUAACUCCGUGCCAGCAGCCGCGGUAAUACGGAGGGUGCGAGCGUUAAUCGGAAUAACUGGGCGUAAAGGGCACGCAGGCGGUUAUUUAAGUGAGGUGUGAAAGCCCCGGGCUUAACCUGGGAAUUGCAUUUCAGACUGGGUAACUAGAGUACUUUAGGGAGGGGUAGAAUUCCACGUGUAGCGGUGAAAUGCGUAGGGAUGUGGAGGAAUACCGAAGGCGAAGGCAGCCCCUUGGGAAUGUACUGACGCUCAUGUGCGAAAGCGUGGGGAGCAAACAGGAUUAGAUACCCUGGUAGUCCACGCUGUAAACGCUGUCGAUUUGGGGGUUGGGGUUUAACUCUGGCGCCCGUAGCUAACGUGAUAAAUCGACCGCCUGGGGAGUACGGCCGCAAGGUUA
rnacentral:rRNA from 1 species